ensembl:lncRNA
AUGAGCAGCGACUUUCUUUGUGCUCUUCUCAUCAUCACCUUCCUGGAAUCAGGCAAAUCAAAGAGUGGUGUAUCUAUCAGUCACAGUCGAGAUGGAUAUGGCCAGAACAUUACUUGUUUCCUCUCAGGGGAUGAAAAUAUGACACAAAUCAAUUGGGAGAUGCUAAGAGGCCCGAAUCGCACCAAAUUGGGCAUGUAUCACCCACAUUUUGGAAUUUACAUAAUGCAAAAGUAUAAACCUAAAGUGAAGAUCCAGAACAAACAGACUCCUCAUCCAUCAUCAUCCCUUCUCAUUAAAGUAGCAUCAAAUGAGAGUGUGCAAAUCUGUUGUGCGUUCAUUACAUUUCCUUCGGGUAAACUUGAGCAGUGCACUGAUAUCAGUAAGAAAGAUGUCAGUAUCAACAAGCCUAUGAUAAAAGAUUUUACAUAUGUCGAACCAGAACCAAUGCUGGGAAUAUUUGGACGUUUGGGUGCAAUGAUCAUGGGAACCAUUCUUUCCCUUUUUAUCCUGACCAUCCUAUUCUACUUAUGCAGAAAAAACAGCUGUAGAAGGAGGAAGUCCUUUGAAAUAGGAACAUACUUGGCAGACGUACCGGCUGAGACAUUUGCUGAAGAAUCAGUUGAUGUACCAACUUCUCAAAGUUCUCCAGAUGGCUUUGACCCCUCAAAACUUUAUGCCAAGAUCAAAAAAGACCUUUUCUAUGGCCGGCUGUGGAAAUCUUACCAAGGCCAACCCAAAUCAUGCACACAAGGUACCAUGACUGAUCAAGGACAUGUUUAACAAAUGUUAGGACAGAGUCCCUUAUAAAUGCUAAAUGUGGAGGGCAGCCCUUUGAGGCCAGUUACAACAGAAUGAGUGCAUUUCAAUAGUUUAUACCUUCCAGCACGCCUGAGAGGAAUCUUGUCAUUUUUGUGUAAUGUAAAAUAGCUUAAAGCAGAUUGCAAUACUUUAUGUAAAGAAAAGAGUGAAUUAUUAAUAUUAAAAGAAAUGCAUUCGUAUUUCAAUCGUUUUCAAGUUAAGAUAAAUGUUUGCAACACUGAAUAAACUUAUAAAUAAACUUUUUAUGUGAAAAUCUAACAGACAUGCUAGUCUCAAGUCUUUUGUCAUGAAUCUUUCAAGGCCAAAUCUCAAAUAAUUUUGAAUAACUUCUAUGUGUUGAAAUAGAAUAAGUUUAUUUUAUGAAUAUUGUCAAUUCAUCGUCCAGGUGGAUGCUGCACACUGGUGAUGGAUGAGGAUUCCCUCCUCCCCAGUGUAAAGCGCUGUAUAAAAGUUUUUUAUGAAUAAAUUAUUAUUAUUAGCUUUUAUUAUAAUUUCCAAGUAUUUCCUUGUUCAUUAAAUCGUGAUUAUCUAAAAGUAAAUGAGGUUUUGCUUAAAUAAAUUGAUGCAUUUUAUGCACGGUAGCUAUAUUCAAUCGUUUCAUUAUCAAAUUUGGCAAAGAGAAAGAGAGAAUGAAAUAACACUAAACAAUUUUUUUUUUCUUUCUGUGAAUCUGUUAUCUUACCGUUUAUGUUCAGCGAUAUUUAGCUAUUGCAUGAGACAAGAAAAUGAUAUUCACUUCCGUUAUCUAGCUAGCAUAAACUGUUUUUACAUGCUUUUUCUUCAUCGAGUAUACGUCACAGUUAGAUCACUUGCAGCUGCAUGCGCAAAGUGGCGGAAAAACACCGGGAGCAAGUGGAAGAAAACGGGUAAAAUCAAUGGACUAUUAAUAAAAAAAUGCAUUGUUAUGCCUUUUGAUGUCAGAAUCGGCAUGGAAAUACUGUCGCCAAAGAUGCCAUUUGAAGCUUAACGCAGACAUUUAAAAGGACAUAUGAAACUGCUAUUUUAAAGCAAAAUAUUUAAACAAUGAGUAUAUAUAAAAUUCAUAUAGGGGGCAUAUUGUAUUAGCCAAGUUGAAAUACCUGCAUGAAAUACCAUUUAAACUUAUAACAUUUUACAUAAUAUUUACCUAUUAUAUCUCACAAUUCUGACUUUUUUUAUUGCAAAUGCAAGUUUAUAUAUCCUAGUUCGGACUUUAUAAAUUUAUUCAAGUCGCGAUUGUCGAUUCUGUGGGGUAAAAGGCCAGAAGUGUGGGAUUAUAAACUGAAAGUCCUCACUGUUUGCAAACAAAACUGCAAUGUCGCCUUCCACCGCUUGGUGGAGCUACGAUACUGUUUUUGAGAAGGAAGCCUCCUUGUUAAUGGCUUCGUGUCGUAUUUCAUAGAAGGCAAGUGUGUUUAUUUUUUUAUUUUUUAAAUUUUUUUAUGUUCUCGAAACAUGAAUAGAUCCAUGUGCCCUCUAGUAUAUUUGAAUAAUUACUGACAUUAAAGUUGCCACUUUACUUGUUAGCUAGCCAAAAGAAAGAUGUUAAAUCUGUUUAAAGGCUGGACAUGUGGAACAGUAUUACAAGCCUGCACGAGUUUAAAGUCCACGUUCUCCCGAGAUGGAAACUUGUCACAUCCUGACCGUGUCAAAAUCACACAACUGUGGAUGCAGUUAAAGCUGCAGUAGGUAACUUUGUAAAAAUAUAUUUUUUUACAUAUUUGUUAAACCUGUCAUUAUGUCCUGACAGUAGAAUAUGAGACAGAUAAUCUGUGAAAAAAUCAAGCUCCUCUGGCUCCUCCCAGUGGUUCUAUUGCCAUUUGCAGAAAUCUAUCGCCCCUGUUAAGAAACAACCAAUCAUAGCUGCGGUCCGUAACUUUGUUUGUGUUCAAAAUGUAGAAAAAUGUAUAUAAUAAGCGAGUACACCAUGAAUCAAUUUUCCAAACCGUGUUUUUAGCUUGUCCUGAAUCACUAGGGUGCACCUAUAAUAAGUGUUUAUAUUCGGACUAUUUUAGAUUGCUUCGGGGGUACCGUGGCGGAGUAACCCAGUACCUUAGAGAUUCUUCAUAGACAUAAACAGAGAGAAGUAGCUCCGGCUACGAUGUUCUUAAGUUCCACAAGACGCAAGCAGUUCUGUUUAUUAACCACUAGAGCGUCAAAACCUACUGCAGCUUUAAGUUAAGUUACCUCACGCAGUAAGUCCUGCAGACUCAAACAGAACAAUCUUCUGGUUUUAGUUUUAAAAAAGUUAUUUAUUUUAGCUAUGCUUUGCUUAUAUAGAGCUUGGGAAACUACGUCACUGCGCAUUGCAUUCUGGGUAGUCGCGGCCAUUUUUGAGGACACGCUUAUCAGUAAAAGUGAAAGUGACAUGACAUGACAUACAGAUCAAGUGUAAGAUUACAUAUAAAGAAAAACUCAACAAGGAAGCAAAGAUGUGGUAUUUAGAAAAAAAUCAAGACAAUCAACGAACUCAAUCUGCACGAACACAAAGAGUGGUCGGAUGAUCUUAAAGAGCUGCCGCUCGUAACCUUCCCCAAUGUGUUUUCUAACCUUGUUUGUAGUGUCAGAGCGUACACCUCUGAUCAGUUUAAAAAUGAUAAAUCUUUUGAGUCUCACCUGCAAUUUACAAAUGGAUGGGUGCAGAACCUACACAUUUUCCGCGUCAACGAGCGAGUUACACAGCCCCUUUACUUUUUAAUAUGCGUUAUUGUAAACUGUACAAAUUAACCUAAGUGCGUUAUGAUGCACAAAUAAAGAGAUACAGAAUUGAUCAAUUUUGCUGUUUAUUACUGUAACAGGUGGUAUGCAAUAUGCAUAACACUGAUAAUGCAGGAGAUGUGGUUCAUGCAUAGGUAACAUUUAAUGUAAGUCUGUCAAAUCGAUUAAUCACAUCCAAAAAAAAGUUGUUUAUAUAACGUACAUUUCUGUAUAUUUAUAUAUAUAUAUAAAUGCACAUACAUACGUGUGUAUAUAUCAGACCAAAGAGACACUCCUUCUUUUCCUUCUUACUGCUGCUAACAAAGCUAUGUGACGCCGCUUUGUUAACUCGGAGACCUGAGAUCAAGGUGCGGUUUUCCAUGGGGAAAGCUGAAAAAUCGCACUCCAUUCAAAUUAUUUUUCCAUGCCGGUCAUGAGUACGAGUAUGGCAUUUAAUUACACAACAAGGUUUUACCAUUGUAACUUAUUUUUUAGCUGUAGAGAGUAAACAAAACAGUCUAUUAGCAAUACAAUACAAUACAUACAGCAGCGUCUGUGUCCUAAAGUCCCAGGAUGCAUUGCAUUGCUGACGUCAUGAUCCCAGACUCUAUUGUGUGUUUGAAAGAAUGACUGUAGUAGUUGCAUUUUAGCAGUCAAUUAUAAGUAGUUAAAGGGUUAGUUCACCCAAAUAUUAAAAUUAUGUAAUUGAUGAAUCACACUCAUUACAAACCCGUAACACUCAAUAACCAAUAUCCCAGAGUAAUUCAUUUACUCAAACAGUACACUGACUGAACUGCUGUGAAGAGAGAACUGCAGAUGAACACAUUGAGCAGAGCCAGAUAUAGAAUGAAAGAUUGACUUUGGGAUAUUGGUUUGUUUUAACUCAGAGUAAGUGUCAGCCACAUUAAAAAAGUGAACAGCUUAAGUCAUUUGUGGAUUAAUGCUAAAUGAAGAAGCGAAUCAUUUCAAACGAUUCAGUUCGAUUUGGUGAACUGGUUCAAGAAGAUCCAGUUACAUUGAGUGAUUCAUUUGUGAACUGGAUCUCACUUAACUGCAGUGAACGCGCUCACAACAGACCCGAAAGAGAAGACAAUGCUGAAUAAAGUCAUAGGUUUUUCUAUUUUUGGACCAAAAUGUAUUUUCAAUGCUUCAACAAAUUCUAACUGACCCUCUGAUGUCACAUGGACUACUUUGAUGAUGUUUUUCUUACCUUUCUGGACAUGGACAGUAUACCGUACAUAUAUUUUCAAUGGAGGGACUGAGAGCUCUUGAACUAAAUCUAAAAUAUCUUAAACUGUGUUCCGAACAUGAACGGUGGUCUCACGGGUUUGGAACGACAUGAGGGUGAGUUAUUAAUGACAUAAUUUUUAUAUUUGGGUGAACUAACCCUUUAAUGUGACCAGACCACAUGAUAAUAGCAAGACCACUUUGUAUCUUCUUAGUAUACUGACAUGCAGCCUGUAAUCACAUUAGUUUUUUUGAUAGAUAAUGUUAUCCACAGUAAUAUCAUUAAAUUGUCUCAUAAAUUGUUACUACAUAGGCCAAGUAGAUUGCAUCUGCUUUUGUUUGCAAUAUUUAAUCAUUUAAAUGAAUGAAACAUUUUAACAUUAUUAUGUAUUCUUAUAUUUUUUUUAUAUUUUAUUUUUUUUAUUUUUUUUUAAUUGACACACACACACACACACAACAGUGUUUUACAAUCCCCAGGUAACCUGUGCAGAAGUAACAAUGGAUUCACAAUGUGUGGGUGAAAUUGAUGGACUGACCUUCUUUCUGGCCAAACCAGAGGAUUACGAUGACGUGAUGGCCAUCUCACAAGACAUAUAUAGUGGAAAGAUUACCUUCCUCAUCGUUAUCACUCCUGGAUGACUGAGCCAGGAAGAGUGGUUAUUAUAGCACGGAGAGGAAGGAAGCUG